GCCACAGAAGAGGGAAGGAAGGGAGAGAGAGGGAGAGCAAAGAAAGAGCCCCACAGUCAUCUUCCCAGGUCAAGCCCUGCUUGGGAAGAAAGGGCUCCCAACAACGCGAGACAGCAAACUGAAAGCAAGAACAUGGCAAAGUGCAAACAAAUCCAGUCCACAAAAGGCAGAAAAGCACCUUUGCCAAGCCCAGGAAAGAGAUAAAAAACCCCACCAGCCCGAGGGGCUUUUCCUACCUCGGAAUCGG